rnacentral:rRNA from 1 species
AUUGAACGCUGGCGGCAUGCUUUACACAUGCAAGUCGAACGGCAGCGCGGGCUUCGGCCUGGCGGCGAGUGGCGAACGGGUGAGUAAUACAUCGGAACGUGCCCAGCUGUGGGGGAUAGCUCGGCGAAAGCCGGAUUAAUACCGCAUACGACCUGAGGGUGAAAGCGGGGGAUGUUCGGACCGCGCGCUAUUGGAGCUGCGGAGGGCAGGUUAGCGAGUUGGUGGGGUAAGGGCCUACCAAGGCGGCGUUCUGUAGCUGGUCUGAGUGGACGACCAGCCACACUGGGACUGAGACACGGCCCAGACUCCUACGGGAGGCAGCAGUGGGGAAUUUUGGACAAUGGGCGAAAGCCUGAUCCAGCAAUGCCGCGUGUGUGAUGAAGGCCUUCGGGUUGUAAAGCACUUUUGGCGGGAACGAAAAGGACUGUGCCAAUACCACGGUUCGAUGACGGUACCCGCAGAAUAAGCACCGGCUAACUACGUG